GCUCUCAACCCUAAUCGCUUGAAUUCAAUAUCUCUUUUUCUCCCUAUCAAUUUUCAAUCUUCUGCAUUAAUCGAUUCGACCGGUAUCAGCUUCGUGUUUGGUGUUGAUGUUUUGAGCCAAAUUUUUUUCUUAUUCGUUGCGACGUUGACAGUAAUGUUAACGAUGUUCUUGAAAUUUAAACCCUAGAAAUGUUGAUUUGAAUUGGUGCAAAAAAAAGAAAAAGAUGAUCGCAUAGUCACAAGAAAGAGAGAGAUGGGGAUACAAAAUAAAAUAUAAAGCUUUCCGUUCCCGUUCCUUUUCUUGAAAUUCAACCAAGAAAGCCCGAUCUCUAUGAAUCUUGGUCUUUGGAACCCUAGAAUUCUAAUUUGAAUUGGUGCCGUAAAAAGAUGACAACGAAGUCACAGACUGUUAUUUUGAUUCAAGUUUCUGCUGUCCAUGAUUUGCUUCAUUCGAAAAAAAAGAUAUAAAUCUCUCUCUAUUUCAUUUUCAACCCAUUAUCCUUUGGUUAAACUUUCUCUGUCUCCAAAACUGUGUUUGACACAAAUGUUUUUAGGUUUUUGUUUGCAACAUUAACGCAUUAUAAUUGAUUAUCUUGAUGAUUCUUGAUUAUUCUUGACCGAGAAGGUUAAUAAAAAUUGAAAAUUUGCAAUAUGUACCCUUAAGACAAGUCGGUCACUAUGCUUGGAUGAUCUCAAAUUUAACUAUGAGAUAACUCUUGACUUAGAUGUGGCCUUCAAUGUGAAUUUUUUAUUUAUAUGAAAUGAAUUUGAGAUAGUAUGUUUACGAGAUGAAUUCUUGACCCAAAAUGUGGUUUGCAAUAUGAAUUUUUUAUUCAUAGGAAAUUGCCAUAAUAUUUUUUGGAUGACCCGAAAAUUAACUAUGAGAUAGAUAUUUUACCGUAAAUGUGGCUUUCAAUAUGAAUUUUUUAUUCAUAUGAAAAGAGAUUGGGAAUUCAAGAUAGUAUGGUUGGAUUAUUUGGAAUUUAAUCACGCGAUAAUUAUUGUCCCAAAAUGUGGCUUGCAAUAUGAAUUUUUUAUUCAUAUGAAAUGAAAUUGAGAUAGUAUGAUUAGAAGACCCGAAAUUUAAUUACAAGAUGAACUCUUGACCCAAAAUGUAGCUUGCGAUAUGCAUUUUUUACCUGCAUGAAAAUAAAUUGAGGUAAUAUUUUUGGAUGAUUUGAAAUUUAAUUACGAGAUAGAUUCUUGACCCUAAAUGUGACCUUCAAUAUGAGUUUUUUUAUUAAUAUGAAUUUGAGAUAAUAUUUUUGGAUGAUUUGAAAUUUAAUUACGAGAUAGAUUCUUGACCCUAAAUGUGACCUUCAAUAUGAGUUUUUUUAUUAAUAUGAAUUUGAGAUAAUAUUUUUGGAUGAUUUGAAAUUUAAUUACGAGAUAGAUUCUUGACCCUAAAUGUGACCUUCAAUAUGAGUUUUUUUAUUAAUAUGAAUUUGAGAUAAUAUUUUUGGAUGAUUUGAAAUUUAAUUACGAGAUAGAUUCUUGACCCUAAAUGUGACCUUCAAUAUGAGUUUUUUUAUUAAUAUGAAUUUGAGAUAAUAUUUUUGGAUGAUCCGAAGUUUAAUUAUGAGAUAGAUUCUUAACCAUAAAUGUGGUCUUCAAUAUGAAUUUUUUAUUCAUAUGAAAUGAAAUUGAAAAUUUGAGAUAGUAUGAUUGGAUGACCCGAAGUUUAAUUACGAGAUGAAUUCUUGAUCCAAAAUGUGGGUUGCAAUGUAAUUUUUUUUUUCAUAUGAAAUGAAAUUGGGAUAGUAUGAUUGGAAAACCUGAUAUUUAAUUACAAGAUGAAUUUUUGACCCUACAUGUGUCUUGCCAUACGAAUUUUUUAUUCAUAUGAAAUUGGAUCUUGACCCUACAUGUGGCCUUCAAUAUGAAUUUUUUAUUCAUAUGAAAUUGGAAUUGGAUGGAUAGUAUUAUGCCUCGAUGAUCUUAGACACAAAUUUAAUAUUUGAGUCUAUAUGACCUUAAAUUCAAUAAAAAUAUUGUGCCUCAAUGACUUUGGGUGGCGUGAUGAAAUUGGGUGGUCAUGUUGAAGCGACAUCUUGCAAUGCCUUGUUGACGGGCUCCGAAGGCAAAGAGACAUUCAAAAGAUAAUUAAACUGUUGGGAGAUAUGGAGGAAACGGAAAUAGGAUCCAGUGUUAUAACCUUUGCAAUUAUUAUUAAUCACAUAUGCAAGGCUAGGAGGAUCAAUGAGGCUUUGGGGGUAUUUGAUAAAUUGAGAGGUAAAGGAGAAAUAAAUAGAUUGGUGUGGGACCUGAUGUGGUCUUGUAUAAUACUUUGAUUGACAAACUUAGUAAAGUUGGGAGGGAAGAAGAUGGUUUGCGUUUGCUGGCAGAGAGGAAAACUGAGAAGAAAAAUAGGCCAAAUACUGUUCCAUAUAAUUGCUUGAUUGAUGGGUUCUGCAAAGCUGAAAGGAAAUGCUGUUACUUAUACUGUGCUGAUAUAUGAAUUCUGUGGUGUGAACAAUAUUGAUAAAGCCAUGCAAUAUUUUGAUGAGAUGUUGAGUUUUGACCGGAUGCAAUUGUUUACAUGCAGUUUGAUAUCUGGCUUAAGCAUUGCUGUAAGGAUAGGUGAUGCCAGUGUUGUUAUGUCACAGUUGAAACGGGUUGGGUUCAGUCUUGAUAGCAUUUGCUACUAUGUUCUCAUAAGUGUGUUAUGUAAGAAGAAUGCUUAACCAAAUGGAAGAAACUGGGGUUAAUCCCCAUACUGUCACAUAUAACACUUUGGUUUGUUACCUUGGCAAAGCUGGAGAUUUUGCAACUGCUAGUAAGGUGAUGAAAAAGAUGAUGAAAGAGGGUCUUAAGCCCUCUGUUGUCACAUAUGAGGCAGUUAUACAUUCAUUCAUAUUGUUUAAAGAAGAAUGUUGAUGAGGCCAUGAAGUCACUCUGUUAGUAGUAGGAUUGAGCUAUAAGUUAAAUGCUUAGCUUUUAAUUGUCUAAGCUCCAAACUUUCGUACUCUUUUGAGCUCAUUUUCAAACCACAUUAUUUUAGAAAUAUGUUGUUGAAUCACAUUACUUUAUUUGGUUAUUAGAUUCAAUAAUUGUUUGAACUUUGAAGGGGUUGCUCAUGAACUUUCUAUUAGGAUAUUAUGACACUUUUUUUCUUUCUGAUGAAAAAAUUGAACUAUCUAGGAAACAGAGGACAAGAUAGUGGGCCAAUUGAGGAAGGCAGCAGAAUGGAUAGUGUGACCCUAACAAUUAAAAAUUGAAAUUUGCACAGAUCACGUAGCGUGUGGAAGAAGGGAUAUGUGCAAGUUGUGAAGUCUUGAUGUUUGUUAUUGUUAAUAAAUAUUGUUAUAUAGGUGUUUUGCAAUUGGAAUUGUGGUCCUUUGUAACAAUCAAUCUAAAGUUGCAAAUUCUGUCACUUAAAUUUCAGAUGCAUAUUCAGUUUUUUUUCAAUGUUUUUUUGCUAGCUUUUGUAUUUUGUUUUAUUUUACCCUUGUGUGCUCAAUUGUCUCCUUGGUAUAGGUUCAUGAUGUAUUUUAUAACAGAUCCAAGGGUUCUAAUUAUAGGCAUACAACAAUAGCAAGACCUCUAUGGUUACAAAAAGCAUUUAUAGGAGUUCUAAUUACAUAUUAAUGGUUACCCUGAAUACUGUCUUGGAAUUGAAUUCUGUUAAUUGAGCAAAAUUGGAGUUGAUGAUGAUCAGUGUAGUGUUGUGAACUUAGAGUUUAAGAAUGAAAGACUACUGAGACAAAUUCAUCCAAGGAAUGACUGGUCAGUAUUCUUUAUAAUCAACCCUAACUUUCUAUAUAACAUUCUUUAUAUGAAUGAGUUGUUACAUAAAUAUAUAUUGUUACUUUUAGUAAAAUGGUCUUAAUUUAAAUCAGUGUUUAUCAUACUCUAUUAGCCUGUUAUCACACUGACUUCCGAAAUAUUAUGAGUUAUGCGUAGACUAAUAUAUGCAUUUCGGCUUCAUCAAACCAAACUGUCACCAAAUCUGUAUGCCUUAAAAUUGAUAAAAACGGCUACCCAAUAUUUCUUGAUCUGAUCUACAUAGUCUCAGAGCAUAAAAUUGUGAACUGCCACCUACCUUUGGUUUGUGACUUUUAUUCAAUAUUUGUUGAAAGAAUGGGGAAAACAUCUGUCCAGGUAUUGUUUGUAGAGGUAAAUACCUAUUGUCAUUUUAUAUUUUGUUCUAAUUAAUGACGUGGAAGAUGAUUGGGAUAUUGUUUGCAUUUUAUAUACGAAAUAAUGGUUGAAACAUUCCCUAUGCAUCUUAUGCUAUAAAGCAUGGAGUACUUCUAAAAUGGUGAAGUACCCAUACUGGGUGCUUACCCGGUACUGGUACUCGUACCAUAUUUGUGGGUAUUCUGUUUUUAUUUAUUUUAUUUUGAGUGAAAUUCAUGAUUUUGUUAUAUAGUAAUAUAAUAUUAUUUGUUUAUUUGAGUUUAUUUGUUAUUGUAAUCGAACACAAUUUGUGAUUUUUUAGAUAUUUAUUUUGAUUUUGUAUUGUGAAUUGAACAAUUUAACUCUCUAAGUUAAAUUAUAUAAAAAAAUUAAUGUUUUUCAUUGAUGUAUCCAUACCUUAAUUAAAAAAAAAAAUACUAUAUCAUGUACUCGUACUAGUACCGUACCUAAGCGUCAUAGAUCUUAUGCUGAUACGAUUUUCAUGCCACUGUAUUGAUGUUACCAUAUAUUUCCUCUGAUUAUGAUAUCAUUGUGCAAACGUAUCAGUCUGUGAAUAAUUAAAAAAAAAAAAAGACCAUAUCACGUACUCGUACUAGUACCGUACCUAUGCGUCUUAGAUCUUAUGUUGAUACGAUUUUCAUGCCACUGUAUUGAUGUUACCAUAUAUUUCCUCUGAUUAUGAUAUCAUUGUGCAAACAUAUCGGUCUGUGAACAUGAGUUUGAAGUAGAGGUUGUGUCGUUGGGUUGGGCUAUAUGCUCACUAAGCUUGAUUCUGAUUUGCAACGGAAGAUUAGGUGCACAGGCUUGAAGUGUGGUAAUGAGUUUAUAACUUUGAUGGCACAUAAAUUUGAAAUAGUUAUUGACGAUCAAGCUGGAAAACAGUUCAAAUGUAGGAUCAGUUGAGGAAGCCGAAAUGAUAAAUCAAUGGAUUGAUUGAUUUAUUUAGGGAUUUGAUAUAUGAAUACUUGAUUUGCUCGACAUUGUAAAGACAUCCACAACUGAUCUCUAUGAAUCUAGAAUUCUGAUUUGAAUUGGUGCCAUAAAAAGAUGGCAACGAAGUUACAGACUUUGUUGUUUCUGAUUUAUUGAUUCCGUUCUUCUAUUGAGCGAACAUUCUCUGUCUCCAAAACUGUGUUUGACACAAAUGUUUUGGGGGUAGGUUUUUGUUUGCAAUAGCAUUAUAAUUGAUUAUCCAAGAAUGUAUAAUCUUGACGAUUCUUGGUUAUUCUUGAUUGAGAAGGUUAAUAAAAAUUGAAAAGUCGCUAUGCUUGGAUGAUCUCAAAUUUAA